GACUUUGUGAUGAUAAUAAUAAAAAAUAGUCAGAUUAUCUGAAGGAAGUCUGUCCUUCAGUGAAGCUGCCUGAAGGGGAAAAUAUGGACAUUGUGUGUUUAAGGCUGUUCCCAUCCAGUGGGGUGUUACACAUGAGAGUGUUGCUAUAAAGGAAUACUGCAAAGAAGGGGAUGUAACAGUAUUGCCAACAGGUAUCUUGAUUGACAACAAUUUUUGUUUACAUAUCAUUGAUAUCAUUCUUCUAUGAGGACAAUAAAGAAUAUUUAAUUUAAGAAUAUAUUAUUUGUAGGUAUAUGGCUUCAUGAGACAGGAGUCUUAGGGGCUUCACCUGAUGGUUUUGUGCAAGGAACUUUCAAAGACAGUUUGAAUGUGCACCUCCAACAUCCUCAGAGGAAAACGUUGCCCGACAUAGUGGAGGUCAAAUGCCCUUUUUCAGCUAAGGACUUGACUGUUGCAGAUGCAUGUAGUACAAUCAAGGAUUUUUACUUAGUCAAAGAGGAAGAUGGUAACAUUACUUUGAAAAGGACACAUGACUACUGGCAUCAGAUACAAGGACAGCUUCAUUUGUCUGGAACUCAAUGCUGUGACCUUGUCAUUUGGACUCAAGUGGACUUGAAAAUUAUUAGAAUAUUGAAAGACAACACAUGGGCUCAAAACAUUUCAACAAUGCUAGAUUGUUAUUUCUCAGUUUUUCUUCCAUCUUUAUCAGAAUGAUUUGCUAAAUAUAUCAACACUACAAAUUUAUAAUAUAUGAGAAAUUUUCAUUUGACUUGAUGUACAUAUAUAUCUAAUAUAAUAUAUAACUUUUGCUCUCAUUCAGCUUUAGUGUUCUUUCUUUUUUUUAUUCAGAAAACAUAUACUGAAAGAAAAUAAUACUUGGAACAAUAAAAUCCCCAAAAGUAACAAUUUAAGAAUUACACAGUAUGAAUUUCUUAUCUGAUACAUUUGCCAAUAAUCAUGCUUGUAAGAGGUGAGAUCAAAAUUCAAUGACUGACAAAAAACUAACUUCAAAUAUUUUUCAUAAAGAUCCUCCUCACAAGUACAUAUGAUGAAUGUUGAUAAUGAUUUUUAUGUGAAAAUCGAUUUCAGAUGACAUAUUUACAGGUAUAUUUACCAUCCUCCCCAUAACUAAUGGUAUUUGAAUUUAGAUUUUUAUCUGACAUUGAUUUUUUGAUCUCUCCCCUAACAUGCAUGUGAAUAAAAAAUUAAAAGAGCCGUCAUAUAAUAAUACAAAGAGAGAUCUACAUGUAUUUCCAGUCAACAUGUAUAGCAUUCAAAAAUUGUGGCCUAUAAUCUACUCUUACAGUAGCUCAUAUUUGUCAGCAAUCUCCUUAAGAAGGGGGGCCUGCAAAUUAACUAGACAGCAGCACAAUUGAAAUAACUUUGUCGUCAAAUGUCUAUACUGAGCUGGCACAUGAUUAAGGAUUUCAUAAUUUUUUAUCCUUUCGUUUGCUCUCUCGACAUGAAUUCUACUACGUCCAAUUUUAUAACAAAGUUUUGCCUCUUCUUUGGUAAAAUGCGAUUUAUUUGACAAAAAGGGUGGAAUGUUUAAGGAUACCCCGGAAGGAAGUUUGUCAAAAAUAUUAAAGCCUUUAUCUGCAAGAAUAAGAUCUCCAGGCUGUAAUUGGUCAAGAACUUUGCAAUGCUGUACUAUGGCUGCAUCAGAUGUGGAACCGGGAUAUAAAUCGGAAGUAAAUACAAGAGCACCAUUUGGAGCCACACAGGUCACCGCCUUUACAGUGUGUCGGCUUUUGUAGUUGCUGUAUGUAAGUGAUUGACUAUUCAUAUUUGAUGGUAUAUCUUGGGUGAUUUCUGUGGCAUCCAUGGCAAUUCUUGCCGAGGUGAAAUCUGAAAAGGAUAUUGGCAUAGACCCUUUGCACUUUAAUUGAGAAGGAAUACCCACAGCUUUCAAUACACCAUCAAAAAAGAUUUCAUGAAGAGCAGAGAUAAAUGUAUUUAUAAUGUUAGAUAUUGUAGAUCUGCUUGUACCAAAUCUAAUAGCAAGGUCUAGAUCUCGAAAGUUUAAGCGUAGCUUCAUCAAACAUAUUAGCAGUUGGUCCUCUAAACUAAAGCAGGUGACCUCCCAACCAGCAUAAUAAUUAAACGGCGCCAUUCGCUUGAGAAUUUGCACAAUAACAUUGAAGACGUCUGCUGGAAAUGAGGUGUAAAGCAGCAUCUAAAAAGUAGAAAA